GCGGGCGGCGGGCGGAAGGCAUCACUUUGUCCGGACUCUAAUUCAAAUUGUAUUCAUCCGAUCUUCACCAAACUUGGUCAGCAGUUGCAUCUAGUUGAUAUCUAGGCCAAGUUCGAAUAUGGGUCAUGCCGGGUCAAAAACUAGGUCAUAGGGUCAAUAAGUGCAUUUUCAAAGGGGCCACUUUGUCCGGACUCUAUUUCAAAUUGUAUUCAUCCGAUCUUCACCAAACUUGGUCAGCAGUUGCAUCUAGUUGAUAUAUAGGCCAAGUUCGAAUAUGGGUCAUGCCGGGUCAAAAACUAGGUCAUAGGGUCAAUUAGUGCAUUUUCAACGGCGCCACUUUGUCCGGACUCUUAUUCAAAUUGUAUUCAUCCGAUCUUCACCAAACUUGGUCAGUAGUUGCAUCUAGUUGAUAUCUAGGUCAAGUUCGAAUAUGGGUCAUGUCGGGUCAAGAACUAGGUCAUAGGGUCAAUUAGUGCAUUUUCAACGGCGCCACUUUGUCCGGACUCUAAUUCAAAUUGUA